rnacentral:tRNA from 1 species
GGAUUGUGGCUCAGUGGUAGAGCUCUCGUUUAGCACGUGCCAGGCCCUGGGUUUGAUCCUCAGCACCA